UUAUGGAGAUUUGAUCCUGGCUCAGGACGAACGCUGGCGGCGUGCUUAACACAUGCAAGUCGAACGGAAAGGCCCUUUCGGGGGUACUCGAGUGGCGAACGGGUGAGUAACACGUGGGUGAUCUGCCCUGCACUUUGGGAUAAGCCUGGGAAACUGGGUCUAAUACCGAAUAUACCCUGCUGGUCGCAUGGCCUGGUGGGGGAAAGCUUUUGCGGUGUGGGAUGGGCCCGCGGCCUAUCAGCUUGUUGGUGGGGUGAUGGCCUACCAAGGCGACGACGGGUAGCCGGCCUGAGAGGGUGACCGGCCACACUGGGACUGAGAUACGGCCCAGACUCCUACGGGAGGCAGCAGUGGGGAAUAUUGCACAAUGGGCGCAAGCCUGAUGCAGCGACGCCGCGUGAGGGAUGACGGCCUUCGGGUUGUAAACCUCUUUCAGCACAGACGAAGCGCAAGUGACGGUAUGUGCAGAAGAAGGACCGGCCAACUACGUGCCAGCAGCCGCGGUA
rnacentral:rRNA from 1 species